AGUUUCUGAGGCGCCGGCGGUGUUCCUGGUAGCGUCAGCCUCCUGGCUUUUCCUUUUCCUGGACGCUUCAGGGCUCCGCGGCCUGCGCUAGACUGGAGGGUCCGCGUCACUCUCGCCCUCCUGCUUUCCGCGCUCUCACCCGCUCCCGCCUCCUGAGGGCACGACUUGUGGAGGAGCGCGGGCGGCGGGGCGUGAGCGAGCUGCCUCUGCCGCCAUCUUAGAGAAGGCGAGCGUGGGGUGUGCGUGGGCGCGAGUCGGCCUCCCGCGGUGCCGCCGCAGCGUGGCGCGGAGAGGCAGGGGCAUCCAGUGGUUCAAGGUUACAAUAAGCUGUGAUCGUGCCACUGCAUUCUACCUGGGAUGACAGAGUGGGACCCUGUGCCACAGAGUGAGACCCUGUCUCAAAAAAAAAAAAACUAUGUAAAUCCAAGAAAAAAAGAAAACAGCUCCUGUUGCCUUUUGCCUCUCAUCCAGAAAGGUAUCCAUUUGCCUUUCUAAUAUCUCUUCAUCCUGUCAGGCCACAAAUGGAGACGACUCACCUGUAUUGUACCUCUCCAAGUUCUGGAAAGUCGAUGGAGGGUUUACUCAGGUUAGGUGUCUAUACCAAACCAAACAUUAGACUUUCAUAAAAACAAGAAAGGAAAUUGUUUUUGAAGUAUUGAACCCACAGUAUUUAAUGAGAGCAAUCUAUAUUUUACCUAAUUUAGUCUCAAAUAUCACUUAUAUGUACAUAUGCAUGCAUAUAUAUGUAUAUAUACACGUAUUACACUAUAGGUAUUGAUAUCAUCUUCCAGCUCUUAGGCCAAUGAAACAUCCAUGCUGUGGUCUGCUCUGGAUUAUUCUUCUAUAUUUUGCCUACCCUUUUUUUUAAUAUCUCACCUUCUUGCCUUAACUGGAUGAGAUUUCAGGGUCCUUAUUUUUAUUACCUAUUAAUGCAUUUACAAAAAGUUCCCUCCAAGUACAGUGUUUUAAAUUUUGGAAUAUUUUAAUAUACUUAAAUUUAUAGCAUCUAAUAUAAACAUGCAUGUAUCUAA
rnacentral:lncRNA from 1 species